rnacentral:lncRNA from 1 species
GGCGCGUGGGGUUUUGGGUCUCAAGAGACCUCGCUGGCGUAUAUCGCGUAUCGUGCUCCCGAUGAGGCUCCUCUGGCGACGUGUCUUGCAUAUUGUGCUCAUCGCUGGAGGCACAAGGUCCACGUGUAGACACCCCUAGGCAUCGGUUGAUCUGAAAAUUGGUUAGGUCCUACAUCUAGCGAUCUAGCUCCUUAUCUAGUAUGUGACCUAAUUAAGCAUUAACAGAAGGCAUGCACUCAGGCUUGCGAAUCAAAAGAUGUCCUGUCGAUGAGACGCUCACUCUUUGAGACACUCUCGAUGUAGUUCGAUUGGUAGAGCAUUAAUAUAUAUAUGGCUAAAGGUAUUAGGGUUCAGCUCCUUGCUUCUCCGAUGUUAUUUAUUUUACUUCUCUCUUUUUCUCUUAGUGCAUCAGCAAUUUAUUUAUUUUACUUCUUUUGUUUCUCUCAGUGCAGGACUCUAGGUGUUCUUUUUCAGUUAUGGAUGGCAUAAGGUUUGAUUUUUGAGGGCUCCAUGUUGAGGUUGGCGUGCUUUGAGCCAACAGUGCUUCGCCCGCCACCUUGUCGACGGAUUGCACCAGCUUUGCAUCCAACCUCUCCACUGCCCAUGUCGAGGCAAUUUCACCCGGUGCCCAUGGAUCCGAGGAAGGAGCUGAGGAGCACUUCCCUUGGCCU